rnacentral:lncRNA from 1 species
AUAAGCAUGAUUUCAAUAAACUUCAAAAUCUAGCAUAGCUAGAUGACUUGGAAUAUCUUAUUCUCCAUCUUCAUUCAUUUUCUUACUUGCAAAAAUACUUAAUCUUCUCUAGCACCUUCAAUGCUAAUUCUACUAAAAAUACACGCUUUCAGUCUAAACAUCCCUAUACCUUAGUACAAUCCAUCAACUUACUACACAUUAUGAGUUCAG